GAUGAACGCUAGCUACAGGCUUAACACAUGCAAGUCGAGGGGCAGCAUGGUCUUAGCUUGCUAAGGCCGAUGGCGACCGGCGCACGGGUGAGUAACACGUAUCCAACCUGCCGUCUACUCUUGGACAGCCUUCUGAAAGGAAGAUUAAUACAAGAUGGCAUCAUGAGUCCGCAUGUUCACAUGAUUAAAGGUAUUCCGGUAGACGAUGGGGAUGCGUUCCAUUAGAUAGUAGGCGGGGUAACGGCCCACCUAGUCUUCGAUGGAUAGGGGUUCUGAGAGGAAGGUCCCCCACAUUGGAACUGAGACACGGUCCAAACUCCUACGGGAGGCAGCAGUGAGGAAUAUUGGUCAAUGGGCGAGAGCCUGAACCAGCCAAGUAGCGUGAAGGAUGACUGCCCUAUGGGUUGUAAACUUCUUUUAUAAAGGAAUAAAGUCGGGUAUGCAUACCCGUUUGCAUGUACUUUAUGAAUAAGGAUCGGCUAACUCCGUGCCAGCAGCCGCGGUAAUACGGAGGAUCCGAGCGUUAUCCGGAUUUAUUGGGUUUAAAGGGAGCGUAGAUGGAUGUUUAAGUCAGUUGUGAAAGUUUGCGGCUCAACCGUAAAAUUGCAGUUGAUACUGGAUAUCUUGAGUGCAGUUGAGGCAGGCGGAAUUCGUGGUGUAGCGGUGAAAUGCUUAGAUAUCACGAAGAACUCCGAUUGCGAAGGCAGCCUGCUAAGCUGCAACUGACAUUGAGGCUCGAAAGUGUGGGUAUCAAACAGGAUUAGAUACCCUGGUAGUCCACACGGUAAACGAUGAAUACUCGCUGUUUGCGAUAUACAGCAAGCGGCCAAGCGAAAGCGUUAAGUAUUCCACCUGGGGAGUACGCCGGCAACGGUGAAACUCAAAGGAAUUGACGGGGGCCCGCACAAGCGGAGGAACAUGUGGUUUAAUUCGAUGAUACGCGAGGAACCUUACCCGGGCUUAAAUUGCAGAUGAAUUACGGUGAAAGCCGUAAGCCGCAAGGCAUCUGUGAAGGUGCUGCAUGGUUGUCGUCAGCUCGUGCCGUGAGGUGUCGGCUUAAGUGCCAUAACGAGCGCAACCCUUGUUGUCAGUUACUAACAGGUUCCGCUGAGGACUCUGACAAGACUGCCAUCGUAAGAUGUGAGGAAGGUGGGGAUGACGUCAAAUCAGCACGGCCCUUACGUCCGGGGCUACACACGUGUUACAAUGGGGGGUACAGAGGGCCGCUACCACGCGAGUGGAUGCCAAUCCCAAAAACCUCUCUCAGUUCGGACUGGAGUCUGCAACCCGACUCCACGAAGCUGGAUUCGCUAGUAAUCGCGCAUCAGCCACGGCGCGGUGAAUACGUUCCCGGGCCUUGUACACACCGCCCGUCAAGCCAUGGGAGCCGGGGGUACCUGAAGUGCGUAACCGCGAGGAG
rnacentral:rRNA from 1 species